GAUGAAGAACGCAGCGAAAUGCGAUACGUAAUGUGAAUUGCAGAAUUCAGUGAAUCAUCGAAUCUUUGAACGCACAUUGCGCCCGCCAGCACUCUGGCGGGCAUGCCUGUUCGAGCGUCAUUUCAACCAUCAAGCCCCAGGCUUGCGUUGGAGCCCUGCGGCUGCCGCCGCCUCCUAAAAGCAGUGGCGGGCUCGCUAUCACACCGAGUGCAGUAGAUUACUCUUCGCUCAGGGCGUGCAGCGGGUUCCGGCCGUGAAACCCCCUACUUUUAAAGGUUGACCUCGGAUCAGGUAGGAAUACCCGCUGAACUUAAGCAUAUCAAUAAGCGGAGGA
rnacentral:misc_RNA from 1 species